GACUUAAAAUCCGUCGACUUUAAAAAUCGUGAGGGUUCAAGUCCCUCUAUCCCCAAAAAAGCCUAUUUGACUCCCAUUUAACCUAUCCCC
rnacentral:tRNA from 1 species